rnacentral:rRNA from 1 species
CUACGGGAGGCUGCAGUCGAGAAUCUUCCGCAAUGGACGAAAGUCUGACGGAGCGACGCCGCGUGCGGGAUGAAGGCCUUCGGGUUGUAAACCGCUGUCAGUGGGGAGGAAAUGCAUCAGGGUUCUCCCUGGCGUUUGACCGAUCCGCAGAGGAAGCGCAGGCUAAGUUCGUGCCAGCAGCCGCGGUAACACGAACUACGCGAACGUUAUUCGGAAUCACUGGGCUUAAAGAGUUCGUAGGCGGCCUUUCAAGUCGGGUGUGAAAUCCCUCGGCUCAACCGAGGAAUUGCGCCUGAUACUGUUGGGCUUGAGGGGGAUAGGGGUGAGCGGAACUGAUGGUGGAGCGGUGAAAUGCGUUGAUAUCAUCAGGAACACCGGUGGCGAAGGCGGCUCACUGGAUCUCUUCUGACGCUGAGGAACGAAAGCUAGGGGGGCGAACGGGAUAGAUACCCGGGUAGUC